UGUCAAGGCCCAAGUUGAAAGCCUUUAAUCUGCAUACAUUUAUGUGUUUGCAGGUGUUUGCUGAGUUCAUCGCUUUGUUGAACCCAUGUAACCAAUUCUACUGCGAGCUUGAGAGAUACACACCUCAACUGAUUGCCCUGUACAGGCAGAAGGCCAAGAGAGCAGAGGCCCUGCAGAGAUCCUCAGGAUUUAUGACCUUCAGGAACAACACAAGGCACACAUGAGAUACCAUCCGACCCUCUGUGGCCUCCCAGUGAACCUGCUAGCGGAUGAGCGACGUCUUCAAAAUUUAAGUACUCAGUGUGCUCACAGAAAUGUCAAUAUCAACGACAAGUAAUAUGAAAUGUAAAUGUAAUGUAAUGAAAUGUACUAUGGAAAGCCAACUCAUACCUCUUCCAGCAACUGACAGGUUUAAAGAGAUGAAAGGAUAGGUUUGUGUCUUUUAGUAGUUUUGUAUCUCAAAACAAUGCUAAAAUAUGAUAUGUACAGUGAAAAGUUUAUUGUUGGCUAUUAGCAUCCCCUUCAUAGACAUGGCCAAAUUGUUAGAAAUUAGGGACAAAUCCACUCUUCUCCUUUCAUGAAAAAAUGUUUUCCAAACCUCCCAAGACCUGGGCUUUGAUUCUGUGUGUAUUUAUAUUAGUAGCAUUGUCUUUGAACAAAGCAUACUUUAAGAAAGUAGAGUAUGUGUACCCAAUGUGUAACAAAGAAGAGACAGACAUCAGAACAUGGCUGGCAAGGCAUGUGCCCACUAAUGAGGACAAUAGGUCUAAGUUGAGCAGAAUGAAGUAUAUGGUGCAUGGAUCUCAAAACCUAAAUUCUCCAUGAGGACACAGGAUUUUAUUAGGCUAAGUUUAGUUGAAGCUAAAUAAGGGUUAAGCAGUCUAGUUAAAAAAUUAAAUGGAUAUUGUUGUUAGGUCAUUGUGUAGGUUUACUGUUGGCAGGAUGUAUCCCACUGCUGCAGCUCAGCAAGUAAACACACAAAGACUAACUUCUAAAAAUACUUACGAUAUGUUUUUCAGACUGCUGAAGUCUCAUAACAGUUUCUAAUGAACUUUAGAAUUUUGUCCUCACUCUCUUACAGUUAAAUUAGAUACAGAAAGCGUUAUAGAGUCAGUAUAGACAGAAGGAAUCAUAACAGCCACCAGUAACUCAACAUUAACAUUUUGGCAUGUGAGUAUUGUAUCUAGACAGGCUUGGAAAAAAUAAAAAAUAUGCUUUAAAGUGUGUGGGGGGCACCGAUGAGCAUGCAGUGCUAGCUGUCUUUUAUAAUAAUCGUCAUAAUUGGAUUGUUUGUAUUUUGCAGUGCGAAGAUGAACCAGACAUUGCUGACACUCCUCACUGUGGUCACUGACACUGACACUCCUGGUGCGGUCUGCUUCAGCCUAAGUGAAAGGUGGCUGUGGAUGGAUUUGUCUGUUUCUCUGGGGGUGAUGAUGACACAGUGGAUAAGACACAUGCUUUUGGUGUGAGAGACCCGGGUUUAAUUCCCCAUUGUGGAAUGUCCACCAAUGUGUCCCUGAGCUGAACACUUUAGCCCUAGUUGCUCCAGAGGCGUGCGACCUCUGACAUAUAUAUAGCUAUUGAAAGUAUCUUUGAAUAAAAGCGUCAGCUACAUGGAAAUGUUAAUGUAACUCAUGUACAAACUCCUGAAAGCACUUCUGAACUGGCAGUUCAGUCCAUCUGUGACGAGGUCCACAAGAUGAGGCUCAGCAACCUGUUCGCCUGGGCUGAGUAGAAUGAGGAUUCCCAGACCAAGACUCCCAAGUCCCCGCUGUAAGGCUCUGGCCUCCUCGCCUUGCUCCCGGAAAGGAGCGGCUCUGGCCACCAACAACAAGGAGGAGAGCGCCUCCAGCAGCGCCUCAGUACGUAGCCCCACCUCCACCUCUGUGUGAGUACAACCUGAAUCUGUGUCUUUUUCUUUGAUUGGUCUGUUUCAAAACCACACGGAAAUUUGAUAUUUAAUGUGUCUGAUUUGUGAAACCAUGAAGCAGCUCUGUGUCUUCACCAAGCAGGAACCUCCAGGUUUGAAAAGUGAAGCCUCAAACCUGCAUUCUCUCUAACAGCCAGCAGGGGGUGACUCCACUUGAUCGUAUAGAAGUCUAUGAGAAAAUGUGGCUACU